rnacentral:rRNA from 1 species
AGCGAACGCUGGCGGCGUGCUUAACACAUGCAAGUCGAGCGCAGGCAUUUUAGGGGUAACCCUGAGAUGUGCUGAGCGGCGGACGAGUGAGUAAUACGUGGAUAACCUGCCUUUGUGCUUGGGAUAACUCCGGGAAACUGGAGCUAAUACCGGAUAAGACCACGGUUUCUAUGGAUACCGAGGUAAAAGGCGGCUAGGUAACUGGCUGUCACGCAAAGAUGGGUUCACGUCCCACCAGGUAGUUGGUGAGGUAAUGGCUCACCAAGCCUAAGACGGGUAGCUGGCCUUAGCGGGUGGUCAGCCACACGGGGACUGAGAUACGGCCCCGACUCCUACGGGAGGCAGCAGUGGGGAAUAUUGGGCAAUGGGCGAAAGCCUGACCCAGCGACGCCGCGUGGGGGAUGAAGGCCUUCGGGUCGUAAACCCUUGUCAGGAGGGACGAUGGGAAUGUGAGCUAAUACCUCACAUGCUUGGCGGUACCUCCAAAGGAAGCCCCGGCUAACUCCGUGCCAGCAGCCGCGGUAAUACGGAGGGGGCAAGCGUUGCUCGGAAUUACUGGGCGUAAAGGGUCCGUAGGCGGCUCCGUAAGUUAGAUGUGAAAGCUCAGGGCUCAACCCUGAAAUUGCAUCUAAAACUGCGGAGCUAGAGUCCAGAAGAGGUCGGCGGAUUCCCGGUGUAGCGGUGAAAUGCGUAGAUAUCGGGAGGAACACCAGUGGCGAAGGCGGCCGACUAGUCUGGUACUGACGCUGAGGGACGA